rnacentral:rRNA from 1 species
GAUGAACGCUGGCGGCGUGCCUAAUACAUGCAAGUCGAGCGAACUGAUUAGAAGCUUGCUUCUAUCACGUUAGCGGCGGACGGGUGAGUAACACGUGGGCAACCUGCCUGUAAGACUGGGAUAACUUCGGGAAACCGAAGCUAAUACCGGAUAGGAUCUUCUCCUUCAUGGGAGAUGAUUGAAAGAUGGUUUCGGCUAUCACUUACAGAUGGGCCCGCGGUGCAUUAGCUAGUUGGUGAGGUAACGGCUCACCAAGGCAACGAUGCAUAGCCGACCUGAGAGGGUGAUCGGCCACAAUGGGACUGGGACACGGCCCAGACUCCUACGGGAGGCAGCAGUAGGGAAUCUUCCGCAAUGGACGAAAGUCUGACGGAGCAACGCCGCGUGAGUGAUGAAGGCUUUCGGGUCGUAAAACUCUGUUGUUAGGGAAGAACAAGUACGAGAGUAACUGCUCGUACCUUGACGGUACCUAACCAGAAAGCCACGGCUAACUACGUGCCAGCAGCCGCCGUAAUAC